rnacentral:rRNA from 1 species
GAUGAACGCUGGCGGCGUGCCUAAUACAUGCAAGUCGAGCGAACAGACGAGGAGCUUGCUCCUCUGACGUUAGCGGCGGACGGGAGAGAAACACGUGGAUAACCUACCUAUAAGACUGGGAUAACUUCGGGAAACCGGAGCUAAUACCGGAUAAUAUAUUGAACCGCAUGGUUCAAUAGUGAAAGACGGUUUUGCUGUCACUUAUAGAUGGAUCUGCGCCGCAUUAGCUAGUUGGUACGGUAACGGCUUACCAAGGCAACGAUGCGUAGCCGACCGGAGAGGGUGAUCGGCCACACUAGAGCGGAGCCACGGACCAGACGCCUACGGGAGGCAGCAGUAGGGAAUCGUCCGCAAAGGGGGAAAGCCUUACGGAGCAGCGCCGCGUGAGUGAUGGAGGUCUUGGGAUCGUGAAACUCGGUUAUGAGGGGAAAACAAAUGUGUAAUUAGCUAUGCACGGCUUGACGGUACCUAAUCAGAAAGCCACGGCUAACUACGUG